AUGAAGAGUUUGAUCCUGGCUCAGGAUGAACGCUAGCUACAGGCUUAACACAUGCAAGUCGAGGGGCAGCAUGGUCUUAGCUUGCUAAGACUGAUGGCGACCGGCGCACGGGUGAGUAACACGUAUCCAACCUGCCGUCUACUCUUGGACAGCCUUCUGAAAGGAAGAUUAAUACAAGAUGGCAUCAUGAGUCCACAUGUUCACAUGAUUAAAGGUAUUCCGGUAGACGAUGGGGGUGCGUUCCAUUAGAUAGUAGGCGGGGUAACGGCCCACCUAGUCUUCGAUGGAUAGGGGUUCUGAGAGGAAGGUCCCCCACAUUGGAACUGAGACACGGUCCAAACUCCUACGGGAGGCAGCAGUGAGGAAUAUUGGUCAAUGGGCGAGAGCCUGAACCAGCCAAGUAGCGUGAAGGAUGACUGCCCUAUGGGUUGUAAACUUCUUUUAUAAAGGAAUAAAGUCGGGUAUGCAUACCCGUUUGCAUGUACUUUAUGAAUAAGGAUCGGCUAACUCCGUGCCAGCAGCCGCGGUAAUACGGAGGAUCCGAGCGUUAUCCGGAUUUAUUGGGUUUAAAGGGAGCGUAGAUGGAUGUUUAAGUCAGUUGUGAAAGUUUGCGGCUCAACCGUAAAAUUGCAGUUGAUACUGGAUAUCUUGAGUGCAGUUGAGGCAGGCGGAAUUCGUGGUGUAGCGGUGAAAUGCUUAGAUAUCACGAAGAACUCCGAUUGCGAAGGCAGCCUGCUAAGCUGCAACUGACAUUGAGGCUCGAAAGUGUGGGUAUCAAACAGGAUUAGAUACCCUGGUAGUCCACACGGUAAACGAUGAAUACUCGCUGUUUGCGAUAUACGGCAAGCGGCCAAGCGAAAGCGUUAAGUAUUCCACCUGGGGAGUACGCCGGCAACGGUGAAACUCAAAGGAAUUGACGGGGGCCCGCACAAGCGGAGGAACAUGUGGUUUAAUUCGAUGAUACGCGAGGAACCUUACCCGGGCUUAAAUUGCAGAUGAAUUACGGUGAAAGCCGUAAGCCGCAAGGCAUCUGUGAAGGUGCUGCAUGGUUGUCGUCAGCUCGUGCCGUGAGGUGUCGGCUUAAGUGCCAUAACGAGCGCAACCCUUGUUGUCAGUUACUAACAGGUUCCGCUGAGGACUCUGACAAGACUGCCAUCGUAAGAUGUGAGGAAGGUGGGGAUGACGUCAAAUCAGCACGGCCCUUACGUCCGGGGCUACACACGUGUUACAAUGGGGGGUACAGAGGGCCGCUACCACGCGAGUGGAUGCCAAUCCCAAAAACCUCUCUCAGUUCGGACUGGAGUCUGCAACCCGACUCCACGAAGCUGGAUUCGCUAGUAAUCGCGCAUCAGCCACGGCGCGGUGAAUACGUUCCCGGGCCUUGUACACACCGCCCGUCAAGCCAUGGGAGCCGGGGGUACCUGAAGUGCGUAACCGCGAGGAGCGCCCUAGGGUAAAACUGGUGACUGGGGCUAAGUCGUAACAAGGUAGCCGUACCGGAAGGUGCGGCUGGAACACCUCCUUU
rnacentral:rRNA from 1 species